GAUGAACGCUGGCGGCGUGCCUAACACAUGCAAGUCGAACGCGCAGCCCUGGACUUCGGUUUGGGGUGGGCGAGUGGCGAACGGGUGAGUAACACGUCGGUGACCUAUCCUUUAGAGGGGGAUAACCGCUGGAAACGGCGGCUAAAAACCCCAUGACCUCGCAGCCGAAGGGUUGGGAGGAAAGACUCCGGUGCUAAAGGAGGGGCCGGCGGCCUAUCAGGUAGUUGGUGUGGUAAGAGCGCACCAAGCCGAUGACGGGAAGGGGGCGUGAGAGCGUGGCCCCCCACACGGGGACUGAGACACGGCCCCGACUCCUACGGGAGGCAGCAGUGAGGGAUCUUGCGCAAUGGGGGCAACCCUGACGCAGCGACGCCGCGUGGGUGAGGAAGCCCUUCGGGGUGUAAAGCCCUUUUCUGGGGGAAGAGGAAGGACGGUACCCCAAGAAGAAGUCACGGCUAACUACGUG
rnacentral:rRNA from 1 species